rnacentral:lncRNA from 1 species
UGGAUUUUUGAGUUACAAUACAUUUUCAAAUGCAAAAUAGGAAAUACAAUAAAUAAAACUCGACGAACUUACUAGACUAUGACAGACUCAAAAAUUAACUAAAUGACUGAAUACUACUAUACGGGACUAGAAAGUAAAACAUGAACAAUAGACUCCAAAACAUAAAAAAGCUCCUCAGGCAGCUCCUGAAUCUAGUGGUCCUUGGAUAUCUGUCAUGCUCAAACUCCGGUAAAUAGAUCCACACCUGUAUGAGAAAAUUGAAACCAAUACUAUGUAAGACAAUAACAUUCCCUGCUAGACACAUGCAAGACAUAGUUUAGGCUAUUUUUGCAAAAUGGCUUAUUUAAAGGUGGCUAGAAGAGCAAAAUUUGGCUAAGACCCGGCAAAGCCAAGAACCUAAGAUUUACUAGGAAGACUGGACCCUAUGUGAGUUGCCUACGUAUGAUGCCUCGAAAGACGAGAAUUAGGUAUGCGUAGUUCGGGCAGAUUGGAUACAGGCGAGAAUUGAAAAAACAACUAAUUUAGAGAAAAAAUAUUUUUUGUCCUUUCUGAAAAAUGAUGAAACAUGUAAAAUCUUUUUGGAUUUUCUUUUCCCAUUUUUUUUUUUUGAUUUUUUUGAUUUUGGGAAAAUGAUGAAAAGUGCAAAAAAACAAAUUUGAAUUUUUUCAUGUUUUUUUUCUUUUUCUUAACAAAAAUGUGACAGAAAACAUAACUGGUCACCCUCUCAUUUUUUUUUCUUUUUUAUUUGCCCUCAACUAUCAUUGGACCGCUAAAUGACCCUUUUAUCCUCAAAGAAAUGCAACAUGUAGCACAUAUGAUGCAUUAAGAAGGUCUGUUAUUUUUGAUACACCUGUCCUAGACGGACCCAACUCCUGUGUUGAGUUCCCAAGGUCAAAUGCACAUGAUGCAAACAAACGCUCCUACUAGGGAUCCGAUAUGAGGCUAUAUUUUUCUAGGUUUAAAUCCUGGGAUUAUGUUCUAGAUCUGGCUUACCCGAGCGGACAACUCGAGCCGAAGAGGAGGCAACGUAUCGGGAGAACUAAAGUCUACCCGGCCUUGUUGCUGGUCCAGCCCCGUUCUUAUGUGGUAUAACUUCUACAGAAAAAGCGGGCCACGCGAACGUGUGCACCAUUUUCAGUAGACUUAGAGGGUGGCGUAAGAAGACAGUUAUAUUCAAUUCAAACAAUAUUAAAGCGGUAAACAUAUAGCAUUUAGCACAAAAGGUUCACAGAAAACAGUAAUAUUAACAAUAAAUGAAGCCAAGUAUAAAUCAUAUUAACAAGCUCGAAUUCUUGAACCCUAAACCAGAGAUUCUGGGUUCUAUUCCCUAGCAGAGUCGCCAGAGCUAUCACACCUCCUUUUUACUGCCCCCGAUAGGGGCAUAAGGGAGUUUUUCCAAUUUAAGUGACAAUUGAAACGAGAUUAUUUAUUUAAAAUCAGAGUCGCCACUUGGGAUAAAUUAUGGUGUCCCAAGUCACCGAUUAAAAUCCUGAAUCGAGGAAUUUGACUCUAAUUACGGUCUAUGAACACAUAAAUCCGGAUAAGGAAUUUUGUUAACCCGGGAGAAGGUGUUAGGCAUUCCCGGGUUCCGUGAUUCUAGCACGGUCGCUUUGAUCAUAAUUGGCUUAUUAAAUUGUUUAAUUAUUGAUUUUAGAACCUAUGUGCAUUUGCCUUUUUUAAUUAAGAAAUUAUCUUGAAACGGGUCACGCGUAUGUGUACCCAUUUGUUUGGCGCGUAAAAAAUCAUGUCACGCGAACGUGUCCACAAUUAAUAAUGCUUUAUUAUCAUUAAGAAAAUCUGGCCGAAGUUGCGUGAACGCAUACUCUAGUUUUGUUUUUAGAAAUCGUAAUCAUGUCACGCAAACGUGUCCACAACCACGAUAAUAUAUUAAACGUGCCUAAAGCAAGCUACGAACAUUUGUUAUUUUUAUACCUAAAUGUGCACGGCAUCACCCUUCGUGCUUUAUCACUCUUCCUCACCAUAUGCAUAAGUAAGAAUGUGCACGGCAUCACGCUUCGUGCUUUAUCACUCUUUCCUCACCCAAAUAGUAGAAAACAAUAACAUCCCGGCAAGGGAAUCAACAAUUGAAUUAAAUACAUCCUGACAAGGGAAUCAACGAUUGAAUUAAAUACAUCCUGGCAAGGGAAUCAGCUAUAACCAAUCUAGUUCCAACAGUUAAUUUCACAAAAUGAAUCUAAACUUGAGCCAAUACUUAACAAAGGUCAAUUACUAGGAAAAUACCACAAAUCUUGUUCAACAUGGAUAAUCAUCAGUUUAGGCAUGAAUAGUACAUAAUAUGAAUCACAACGAUCACAGUAUAAGACUCACUUGCAUGCUCGACACCAACGUAUAGAUACUCGUCACCACACCUAUACGUCGUACACAACACUAACACAAAGAAAUUAAGACACAACACCUAUUCCCUCAAGCUAAGGUUAGACCAAACACUUACCUCGGAUUCCACGACCAAACUCAAGCCUUAAAUACCACUUUUCCUCUAGAUUUCACCUCCAAUUCACUUGUAUCUAGCCAUAAUUAACUUUACAAUAUCAAUAAGUGCUAAAGAAUUCAACUCCAAUGCUUAAUUAUAAGUUUUCUAUUAUUUUUUCCAAAAAGUCAAAAAUCGACCCUAAGCCCGCUUGGUCAAAACUCGAGGUUUGAACCAAAACCCGAAUACCCAUUCACCCACGAGCUCGUAUAUGCAAUUAGUUUUGAAAUCCGAUCCCAAAUCGAGGUCUAAAUUUUAGUUAUACAAAAAGCCCUAAUUCUAUCCAAAUUCCCAAUUUCUACCAUGAAAACCCUAGAUUUUUUUGAUGAAAAUUGAUGAAAUGCAAUGGGUAAUUGAAAGAAAGUGGUUUAGAAUCAUAUACCAAUGUCACACCUCCUUUUUACUACCCCGAUAGGGGCAUAAGAGAGUUUUUCCAAUUUAAGUGACAAUCGAAAUGAGAUUAUUUAUUUAAAAUCAGAGUCGCCACUUGGGAUAAUUUAUGGUGUCCCAAGUCACCGGUUAAAAUUCCGAAUCGAGGAAGUUGACUCUAAUAACGAUUUGCGAACACAUAAAUCCAGGUAAGGAAUUCUGUUAACCCGAGAGAAGGUGUUAGGCAUUCCCGGGUUCCGUGGUUCUAGCAUGGUCGCUUUGAUCAUACUUGGCUUAUUCAAUUGUUUAAUUGUUGAUUUUAGAACCUAUGUGCAUUUGUCUUUUUAAUUAAGAAAUUAUCUUGAAACGGGUCACGCGUACGUGUACCCAUUUGUUUGGCGUGUCAAAAAUUAUGUCACGCGAACGUGUCCACAAUUAAUAACGCUUUAUUAUCAUUAAAAAAAUUUGGUCGAAGUUGCGCAAACGCAUACUCCGGUUUUGUUUUUAGAAAUAGUAAUCAUGUCACGCGAACGUGUCCACAACCACGAUAAUAUAUUAAACGUGCCUAAAGCAAUCUACAAACAUUUGUUAUUUUUAUACCUAAAUUAAUACGAGGUCCAUAGGGAUUCAAUUAUGAAUGGCACACCUCGGCUUAGAGAACUGCAUUUAAUUUAGCAGCAUAUUAACAACCAUUUUAUUAUUAAGAAAGUUUGAUCGAAGUUGCGCGAACGCAUACUCCGAAUUGGUUUUUUCGAAUCGUAAUCAUGUCACGCGAACGUGUACACAAUCACAAUUGUAUUUAAAACGCACCUAAAGCCAGCUACGAUGUUCAUUUUAGAAACCGUAAUCAUGUCACAUGAACGUGUACAUAAUCACAAUAAUAAAUUCAAAACGCGCAUAAAAGUUCACCUACCCGGGUGUGGUCGGCCUAAACAUGCUCCUAGAGAAACGGGCAUGCUCGACACUAACGUAUAGAUACUCGUCACCACACCUAUACGUCAUACACAACACUAACACGUAGCAAUUAAGACACAACACCUAUUCCCUCAAGCUAAGGUUAGACCAAACACUUACCUCGGAUUCCAUGACCAAACUCAAGCCUCAAAUACAUCUUUCCCUCUAGAUUUCACCUCGUAACUUUACAAUAUCAAUAAGUGCUAAAGAAUUCAACUCCAAUGCUUAAUUAUAGGUUUUCUAUCAUUUUCCCCAAAAAGUCAAAAAUCGACCCUUAGCCCGUUUGGUCAAAACUCGAGGUUCGGACCAAAACCCGAAUACCUAUUCACCCACGAGCCCGAAUAUGCAAUUAGUUGAAAUCCGAUCCCAAAUCGAGGUCUAAAUUCCAUUUAUACAAAAAACCUUAAUUCUAUCCAAAUUCCCAAUUUCUACCAUGAAAACCUUAGAUUUUUGGAUGAAAAUUGAUGAAAUGCAAUGGGUAAUUGAAAGAAAGUGGUUUAGAAUCAUAUACCAAUGUCACACCUCCUUUUUACUACCCCGAUAGGGGCAUAAGAGAGUUUUUCUAAUUUAAGUGACAAUCGAAAUGAGAUUAUUUAUUUAAAAUCAGAGUCGCCACUUGGGAUAAGUUAUGGUAUUCCAAGUCACCGGUUAAAAUUCCGAAUCGAGGAAGUUGACUCUAAUUACAGUUUGCGAACACAUAAAUCCGAGUAAGGAAUUUUGUUAACUCGAGAGAAAGUGUUAGGCAUUCCCGGGUUUCGUGGUUCUAGCACUGUCGCUUUGAUCAUACUUGGCUUAUUAAAUUGUUUAAUAGCUGAUUUUAGAACCUAUAUGCAUUUGCCUUUUUUAAUUAAGAAAUUAUCUUGAAACGGGUCACGCGUACGUGUACCCAUUUGUUUGGCGCGUCAAAAAUCAUGUCACGCGAAGUCCACAAUUAAUAACGCUUUAUUAUCAUUAAAAAUAUUUCGCCGAAUUGCGCAAACGCAUACUCCGGUUUUGUUUUUAGAAAUCGUAAUUAUGUUACGCGAACGUGUCCACAACCACGAUAAUAUAUUAAACGUGCCUAAAGCAAGCUACGAACAUUUGUUAUUUUUAUACCUAAAUUAAUACGAGGGCCAUAAGGAUUCAAUUAUGAAUGGCACACGUCGGAUAGAGAACUGCAUUUAAUUUAGCGGCCUAUUAACAACAAUUUUAUUAUUAAGAAAGUUUGAUCGAAGUUGCGCGAACACAUACUCCGAAUUGGUUUUUCGAAUCGUAAUCAUGUCACGCGAAAGUGUACACAAUCACAAUUGUAUAUAAAACUCACCUAAAGCCAGCUACGAUGUUCAUUUUAGAAACUAUAAUCAUGUCACGCGAACGUGUACAUAAUCACAAUAAUAAAUUCAAAACGCGCUUAAAGGUUCGCCUACCCGGGUAUGGUCGGCCUAAACAUGCUCCUAGAGAACCCAAAUGAAUUAAAGGUAAAACAAUAAGAUUGCCUCGAGCCUAGACCCGCAUACCCAACAUCAAUUUAAUGAAUUGACCCAAGCCCAUUUUUGGUCAACCCCACAAUUCUAAACAAUUCACAGUUUGCCAUUUCCAUUCAACUUGAUGUCUUCAUUCUUAUUUAACAUAUCUUAUAAAACAAACUUUAAAGAAAACAAAUUAAACAAAAUAACAAUGAAGCUAAUCAAGGUUAAACAAAUCAUAAGCAGAUUCAAAUUUAUUGAAAUAAAGAAGUAUAUUCAUUGAUUAACAAGAGGGAUGAAAGGAGAUGGACCUGAAAAAUGAUCUUGCAAUCAAUCUAACUUGGCGGUUCACGGACAGAAUACCGCAACUACGAAUGGAGUUCAAAACAGCAAAUCCAAUUUGAACAAAACUAGCGGACCGCACCUCGGAUGGCAAUUCCAACAAUCAAACACUCGUUUCAACCCAAACUCCAUUUCGGAAAACAAAACUAAAAUAACAGCCUAAAUUUCAUAAUGUAUUUCGCGUUUGAAAGCAAAAACGAACCUAGACUCAUCUGAAAAUCAGAAAAUGAAAAGUCAGAAUCAAAGAGACAAAACCCCCGUUUUUCUUUUAUCCUUUUUCGCCCAGAUUUUUUUUUUGUUUGUUCUUGUGACUUUCCCAUUUCCGUCUCGUGUUUGUCCGUUCCCUGCCUCUGUUUUUCGCUGCUGUAUGUGUGUGUACGGCGCCGAAUUCCGACCAGUUAUGGUGGUGAGGGAGCGAUGGCUGCUGGAGUUCUUCCGGCAAGUUUGGUGGUCGACUGGUUCCGGUCUUAGAGAGGAGAGUCGCUGGGGUUUUAGGGUGAAGAAACGAAAGGUUUGGGGCUGGUUGUCGCUUGGUUGCUGCUAUGAGGUUCAGGGGUGUUCUUUAGAUGGGGUGUUAGAGAGAAAAUGAUGAGGACCUGGGGGGUCGUUUGUAUUUUGUGGAUGGUUAGGGAUUUUUCUGAGAGGUGGGGUGGGGUGCGACGAGGAACAUGAAGUUCUAGGGGGGGUCAUUUGUUUGUUGCGGUUGUCAGCUCCUUUUUUCUCUAGUCUACGCUAUUGUUUUUUGUGUAAUUUUUGGUUGAUCCUCCUC